UAUGAUAUUGAUUACGAUGUUAUGAUGACUGUUUAUGGUGUUGAAUAUGAGGUUGUUAUGAUGUUACAUGAUGAUGAUUAUGAAUGUUGUGAUGAUGAUUAUGUGAUGUUAUCUAUGAGUUGUUAAAUGUACUUGAUGAUGGUUAUGUUAAGUUGAUAAGUUGUCUUUUAUUCAUGAAUUGCUAAUGGAAUGUUUGAUGAAUAAUUAUUAUUAUGAAAUGAUGAUGUUACAUAUAGUUGCUAAGUUGUCCUCUAUUCAUGAGUUGUUAAUAAGGUGCUAGGUGGAGAAUGUUAACAUGAAUUAAUGAUGUUGUUAUGUUGUAUAUGAACUAUGAAUAUGAUGUUGUUACGUUGUUUAGGUCAUUGAUUAUGAAGUUGUCAUGUUGUAUACGAAUUAUGAGUAUGAUGUUAUAUGAUUAUGAUUAAGAUGUUAAUUAUGAAGUUAAAUGAUGCUGUUAUGAUGUUGUUUAUGAUAUCGAGUUAUGACUGUUGAUAUGAUGAGUAUAUGAUAUGGUUUAGGAGUCGUUAAAAGAAUUACUAUUACUAAUUGAUGAAGUUUAAGUUGUUAGAUGCAUUUGAUGAAUUAUAUAUUAUUAUUAUUGAUUGUGAAUCUCACCCCUUCUGCUUGAAAAUGUUGCUCUUCGUAUGAGUAACUUGCAGGUGAUCGAGAGUAGGUUGCUGUGUUUUUGCUGUCGUGAGUGGCUAUCCCUCACUGAGUCGUUUAGGUGCUCUGAUACGUAACGGGAUGGGAACUUUGUUGCAUGCUUUUCUAUUCCUUACGUAUUGUUUAUAAAUUUACAUGAUUAAGUUGUUAAUUGGAUUUUUAUGAGAUGUUUUGAUGAGGCCUUCGUGCCAAGACUUUUUAUGUUAAUGAAUUUAAUCCGCUGCAAAGUUUGAAUUAAUAUGUUGAAGGAUAAA
rnacentral:lncRNA from 1 species